CCAAACAAGGAGUAAUCUUGCAAGUUCUACAGACUAUUGUGUUUGUUUAGCAAACAGAGGUUAAGCUUUCAAAACUCAAAACAUUGCCUUCUCCGUGAAACAUUCCUUGUGUCUCUGUGAAGUUGAGAUUCCUCCUCCCCCUGCUGUAUGUUCCUCUACUGCUUCCUUCCUAUCAUUAUUACAGUACUUAUGAAAUUACAUUGUAAUUACUUAUGUGCCUACCUUUAUAAUAAACUUUUAUUAAGUUGUCUGCCUAGAGCUUUUUCUGAAGAGCUGCCUUAGCCCCAACUCCACAAAUACCCUUCCCUCUUCAUCCCCAGUUCUGUGUUGGCCACCAUCUCCAUAGUUACACAAAGAACUCUUGUGGGCAUGUGUUUACAUCAUGACCCUGACACCUUCUCUUCCUUGACCUGGGCAUCUGACCCAGAUAAGGCUGGUUAAUCCCCUCCCUGGAAAUUUGGAAUUGAGAGAGAAAGAGAGAGAGAGAGAGAGAGAGAGAGAGAGAGAGAGAGAGAGAGAGAGAAUAUGAAGAUGAAAGUGAAUUAGGAUAAAGGAGGAACAAAGAAUCAUGAUUAUAUUCAAUUUGCAGUUCCAGAUUGCCGAGAAAGCCCAUCUGUAUCCACGCAUGCAGUUUCCAGAUCCCUUCCCGUCGCUCUUACCUUUUAUAUUAUUCAGUAUGCUCUGCCCAUUGCUGCUUCGUUGGCCUUAGAACUCUCCUUCAAUACAUCCACCUGCUCCCUCCCAGAACUUUGGCUUCAGAAGUGCCUCUCUCCUGAGAAACGGAGGCUCCAGACAUGCUCAGUCAGCAAAGCCAGGUAUAAUUAAAUGCUUUCGCCUCGACUUGGGGCCCUGACAGGUGGCAGGUGUGGACAGUGCUGGCAAAAGAGACCUGACCUGUCUUGUCUUGCACAGCUGAACGUACCCUUCUCGAGGCCAAUCUAAAGUCCUGGCAACCCAAGUUUAAGUAGUGGGGACGUCUACAUUUUUAAACUGAUAAGAACAGAUACUACACUUGAUCUUAGCCAAAAGGCCGGGAAGCGAUACAUUUUUAAACUGAUAAGAACAGAUACUACACUUGAUCUU
rnacentral:lncRNA from 1 species